CUGCGCAGGGUGGUGAUGGUCGUGGUGGUGAUAGGAGUGGCGUGUUCCCCCUCUCCUCCCCUCAGUGUCCUGGAAGCGAGUGUGCAGGGAGGGUGUGCCGCGGCUGUGCUCCCAGAGUGUCUCGGGGAGGGCCACGCGUAGCCUCACCUGGGGACGUGACAAGACUUACAACACAAGGCCCGUCAAGACACAGACAGCCACCUUACUUACGACUUUAUUCAGAAACGCCUUCCCUUCUCACUACGAUGAUAUUGCAAGCCACAUAGACAACUAGCCGGGAUUACAAGACAGUUUCUCCUUUUAGUAAACUAGAAAUCUUGCCAAUCUAUCACCAGAACCUUAAAAAUACGCUUAAAAAAACAUAUGACCUCUACUGGAACCUUGGGAAAGCAGUGAUGUGCAUUGAAUUACCAGGCUUGAACUCAUUUGUAUAACCCGAUAACCAGUAUUUCGGGAACUGAUAUGCCACAGAAAAGAAGUUAAAGACAUGCUGAGUGUGUGAUAAAGACAUACUGCUUUAAGACACUGCAACCCUGGUGCUAACUUGGUCCUGCUGAAGCCAAUCCCUUGAGACUCAGAGAAAAAAAAUGCAGAGUUACGCAGAAGACUGAGGAAAAAGGACAGUGGACGAUGAAAGAAUAUGCUAAUGUGGAGCUUGGUAUUCUUGUUAAGUUCCUGUAAAGAAAAGUUUAAAAAGGCGCCUUGCAUACUUACCGCCACAUGUAUCUAACGAGGGAGAUACAAAGACCUUGAACGCGUUAUCCCCUCUUCAUAAAUCCCACGCAGGCAGAAAGAGAAAAGAGAAAACUAAAAGAAAGAGGUGGAGGAGGAGAAGGAGGAGAAGGAGGCAAAGAAAUCGAAGCUAGACGAGUGGAAAGGAGAGAGAGAGAGAGAGAGAAAAAAAAAACAUGCUGCCCAAGUCGCUCACCUUUGAUCAGCUGGUGGGCCGCCCCUGGGGAUACACGCGUGCCCAGACCCUCAGGCAACAGGUGGGUGGAGUGACCUGGGGGAGAGAAGACCCUGGGGAGAGAUGACACAUGAGAACACGAUGCAACAUAACAUGACAGACAAAUAAGUUGAAUAUAUGAUUGUUUGAACACUAUAAAUUCCAUAACACUUCAUUACGUCAUUUCAUCCCAUUCAGUAUAUAGAAGGUACUUUAAAAGAGGGUUUUUUUUUUAAGUAGGUAGUAGUUUAAAGAAAGGUAGUUUUUGUCUCCGUGGAAGGUACAAGUGAGAAGAUGAAAAUAGGAGAAUAAAAAAAAAAAAGAUUCUUGAUAUUAAAGAUUCAAAAUUUUACAGAACGAAAUAAAGACACGUAAAUAGAUAAAGUGCGGGGAAGUGGGUCGUAAAAAAGAAAAAAAAAAAAAAAAUGGAAAAUAAUCAAGAAAAAAAAACACGACAUAAAAAUACAUUGGAAAGGAUGAAAGAGAAGAGACUCAAUUUAGAAAGACAGGAGUUGGUAGGGUCGCGUGCUGGCUCAGUGAGUGGCUGACUCGCGGCUGUUAGUUACGAGGCGCCGAAGAAACGAAGCUCAAGUUAGUCACACUCCGGGAAGAGUUUAAUGAGCCUUGCACGAGGGACUCACUAACUUUAAAGAGUUUGUGGAUGGCAUUUAGAAUCAGGAAACAGAUGAUACAGUGUCUUUUGUCAUCUCUUUCCUUCCUCCUCCUCUUUAUAUCACAUUUUCUCCUUAACUUUCUGUCUCUUCCUUCUCCCGUUUUCUCGUAGUUUCAGAGGAGGAUACAUUAGAACCUGGAGACAAAUGAUGAUGUAUUGUCUCUUCUCGUCUUCUCUUCCCCUUCCCCUUAUUCUAUAUCAUCUCCUCUCCUUAACUUUGUCUCUUCCUUCUCUCUCCCUUCUCUUUUUUUUUUCUCUUGGCUUCAGGAUGUGUUAGGAAAGCAGUUGUCUUGAUAUGUAUUGUCUUUAGUCAUCACCUCUUCCUUGUUUUCAUCGUUAUAUCAUUCUUUCUUUAAUUCUCUUCUCUCUCUCUCUCUCCCCUUUCUUUCCUUCUUCUCUCCUUUUCCGUUGGUUCCUGGAUAGGUUGAUAAAUAAGAAUCAGAAAGUAGAUGAGUUGAGUAUUGUUUAUCAUCACCUUGUUUCCUCCUCCUCUCCUCAUCACAACUUUUUUCUCUAACUUUCUCUCUCUCCCCAUUCUAUUUUCCUUCCUCCUUUUUUUUUCUCUAACUCUCUCACUCCCAUUCUAUAUUUUUUCUUUCUUUUCGCGUGAUUCCAGGAAGGGUUAAGAGAUGAUAACCCGUAAUCUUAAUACUAUACAGCCUUUCACUACUAAUUUCUUUCAUCUUUUUUUCUAUAUCACAUUUUUUUUCCUUAAUCCUUUCUAUCCCUUCCCUUCACAGUCACUUCUCCUUCUCAUCGCGGUUCCAGGGUGGGUGGGGAGAUCGUAAAAUUGAAGCAGGUCAUUGUAUUUCACUCCCAAGUUAAUUUGUGAGGCAGUAUUCCUCUCGUGCAUGAGUUACGAGGGACAGUUAGUGAAGAAUACCAUUGAUCGUGUGAUUUAUGAAUACGAACAGGAAUAUGCGAGCCAGCCAGCGAGCGAGCCAGCGACGGGGCAAGAAAGAUUGGUAAGGUAGUGGCUAGAAUAAGGAGACGGAGCUUUGAAACUUGGUUGGGUGAUGAAAUGCCAAGAGUCGGAGGAAGGAAGGGGUUUUGGAUGGUAAAUCAGGUGGUGAUGUAGAAAGACAAGAAUUUAAAAGGAAAUAAUGAAGGAAGCAGAAAAUAAGGAGUGUGAGAGGCAUUUUUCAUGUUUAAGUGAUAAAAAAAAAACUGAAGUUGAAGAGAAGUUGCUAGGAUAGAAAAAAAGGUGUUUUAAGAAUAGAUAAUAAAGUGAAAGGAGAAUAAGAAAGAAAAUAGGAGGAAAGCUUAUUAGAAAAUACAAUUGAAUAAUAUCGAAAGAGCAGUCUAUUCACGACAAAAGGGAAAAAUGAUACUAUUAAUGGGAAAAAUGGGCCAACGAUAAACUCAAACGCAGAUAUGAAUG